UACGGGGUGGGCAAGCGUUGUUCGGAAUUACUGGGCGUAAAGGGCUCGUAGGCGGCCAACUAAGUCAGACGUGAAAUCCCUCGGCUUAACCGGGGAACUGCGUCUGAUACUGGAUGGCUUGAGUUUGGGAGAGGGAUGCGGAAUUCCAGGUGUAGCGGUGAAAUGCGUAGAUAUCUGGAGGAACACCGGUGGCGAAGGCGACAUCCUGGACCAACACUGACGCUGAGGCACGAAAGCGUGGGGAGCGAACGGG
rnacentral:rRNA from 1 species